ensembl:lncRNA
CAGUUUUAUAUCUUUAUGUUUGAAGCCUGAAAUGUGGCAAAAGGUCGCAAAGUUCAAGGGGGCCGAAUACUUUCGCAAGGCACUGUACAUGUAAAAAGAGGGAUGGAUAUCACUCCUCUAGCUUGCAGGGGCAGUAUUCUUUCCUUCUCUGCCAGACUGGUCAGCAGCAUGAGAGACAGAGUUCAUGUGUUGUCAUGUGUUGCUGCCAUGCUGUGUUGUUGUCUUAGGUCUCUCUUUAUGAAAUGUUGUGGUGUCUUAGGUCUCUCUUUAUGAAAUGUUGUGGUGUCUUAGGUCUCUCUUUAUGAAGUGUUGUGGUGUCUUAGGUCUCUCUUUAUGAAAUGUUGUGGUGUCUCUUGUUGUGAUGUGUGUUUUGUACUACAGUUUUAUUUUUUAUUCCAGCGCCAGUCCCAGGAGAAAGCCUUUUGUCUCUUGGUAGGCCGGCAUUGUAAAUCAGAAUUUGUUCUUAACAGACUUGCCUAGUUUUCAAUAAAAGUUCAUUAAAAAAAUUAAAAAACAAUCCCAGCGUUCAGAUCAAUUAGGUGGCCAUUCAAUGUGACGUAACCCAAGACAAAGCGGUCCUGUUUUCCGGGUGAGGUUAAAGCACGGGUGAGCAGGCAAUAACACAAGGAGGACACCAAAUCCAGUCCAGUUAUCUGGCUUGUGUCCGACUGUUUCCUAGGAGAAGAGAGGAGGAACAUAGAGGAGACAUUUCGUUUUUAUUCCUCACUAUUAACAUUAAAACAUUUUCAUCAUAGGCAGAGCUAGAACCACAGUGUGUGGUUGAACAUAGAUACUAAUCUGCCGUCCUGAGCUUCCAAAGUCAUGACAGUUCUCUGAUGUGACAGGCUAGAGAGACUACUGUCAGUCUGGAUUUCCACCACAGGCCAGGAUGUCUGCCUAUUUAGUCAUUGACAUGUCCACACUUCCUGGGACAAUUCCUCUGAUUCACUUCCAAUGUUUCAAUAAAGAAACAGGUUGCUCAAUUUAUUACAAAAAAAAACAGAUUAAUCUGUUUAAAUAAUCAGUUUCCUUUUCAAUCAGUUUCCUUCAAUCACCAGUCACCACCAUAGACCGGGAGAUCUGCUUCAUAGGAAACACUUUCACCAUGUCUCAUUUGAACGUGUACAAAUGAAAGCCACUUUUACACCGUAAUCUUCUGUCAUUCAGGAAGUUCAAACAGAAUUGAUUGACUCAACCCUUCAUCUAAUGGUCUGGGCCUUUAGAAUAACACCAUGUAGGUUAUUGUUGUACAGUAAUAGUUACUUUGUGGUUUCCCUUCACUAGACAUGUUGAAGCCAGGCAGGUAGUGUUGCCUGUACCUGGUGAGCUGUUCUCUGACACUCCACAUUACUGGGAGCAGUGUAAUGAUGGAGGUAAUGGCUGUAACAUGCACUCACCUCCUCUCUGGGAUGGCACAGAUUGUCACGUGUGAGAUGUCAACAUGCCUGGCUAUCACUCUCUUAGUAUCAUAUAGGAAGAGACCGUGAUCUAUUGUCUAUUUAUUUAGGUCUGAGCUUACAUGAUCAAAUAUAGUUUCAGUGGCAGGGUUUUCUUCAGUUAAAGUAAACAGGAAGGAAGAGAAGGUCCUGACGGAGGUACGCAGCUUCCCUUUGUGAAGAUGAAACAACGCACCUGACAUGUUUCAUAAUCCGAGGUGUCAGGUUACAGUGUGUGAACCUGUUCUACAUUUAAAUGAUGUCAUGUCUCAAGCUCAAGAAAUGUGUGAAACAUGUCUGUCACGUUCUGUUUUUUAACCGUGCUCAUCUGUAACGCAACUUCCUGUACAUGUUGAGAGUAGGUUAGAGUUAAUGGUCGAUUACAGAGUUAAUUCAGAUAUUGUAAUGUACCGAGUCGACCCCUAAAUCUGUGACAGAUCAUCGGUGCCCGUUGAAUAAGACACACAGCUAAUCCCCAUGACCCUGUUUUGAUGUUGGCAUUACUGUAAAUCACCGUCAUUCUACUCAUUGACGUCACAUAAUCAACCACAUCAGACAGUGUCUCCUCUGCUCGGCCAGUUAAAGAUGACGGCCAUUUCCAAACACACAGGAUGCGUCCCAAAUGGCACCCUAUUCCCUAUAUAGUGCACAACUACUGACCAGGGCCCAUAGUAGGGCACUAUGUAUUGAAUAGGGUGCCGUUUAGGAUUUAGAAGGGACCCACUGUAUUAAUAGUACAGAUAAAUAAAUAACGGAU